UUCAUGCUGAGAUGCCAUCUGGCUUUGCUAUGGCAACUGUGAAGCCAAAUCCACAGCUAUUCCCAGAGAAAAUACCAUAACAAAGCACUCAGAGGAAUAAAAGUUUUGCACCUUGCAACAGCUAUUGUAAUUUGGAACAAGACAGAUAACAUUAUAUAAGACAACCAUAGAAAUGUGUUAACACAUUUCAAAAGAUGUGCAAACUGCUUGUUGUAUUAUUUAAUUAGCCUUUGACUCAGUAUUCUGGAAAGAGUCUGCUAAGAAUUUUACCAAAUCCCUAAUAGUGCAGCCCUUGUUAUCUAGCCAUAACCUGUUUGUGGGACUUUCAUGUAACUACAAAACUAGGUAAUUGUUGAGUAUGUGCAAUUCAUUGAUACAUUCAGUAGAUAAAAAUUCAGCUAGGCUUCAUUUAAAUGUUUUACUAGGUUUGUGAUCCACCUGUUUCUUUUUAAAACCAAAUUUGUUUCAGAAAGCCCUGCAUAAGACUUUGGAUAAAUAGCUUCAGGUGAGACCAAUCCUCCAAAUCUGUUCACAAAGAGAUUCCCAAAUACACCUGCCAUCAACAAACAGCUGUUUAUGGUAUUUUAAAUGUGUUCAUCACAGACUUGAACAUAAGCGAUAAUUACAACUAAUGGGACUGCAAUUAUAGCAAAUUAAAAGAAAACAGAAAAAAAGUUGCACCCAUAGAAUUUGGAGAAAGAAGUUCUAAUCACCACGAUUAACAGAACCUUUAUUGUGACCACUGCCAUAAGUAAUGGCAAAAAUUAAACUGAAAAAGAGGGCAAACGCACAGUGGUUCAGCGCAUCUAUACACACAAGACCCAGAAAACCAAAAGGAGAAUUGGCAAUGUUUGGAAAUCAGUUUGGUUAUAUAAAUGCUGAAUGACACAUGCGGCAAUAAAGCAGUCAGACCAAGAUGCAAGCACCUCCUCGAAGGAUUUGACAAUUCCAAUAAAUGAUGAUAAAUGGCGGUGCUGAAUAGCAAGUCCCAAAGCUGCCACUGCUUCUUUCAAAGGCAUAUAUUUUAAGAACAAUGUUCUCUGUAUUCCAUAUUCAAAUAGAUAUUUU
rnacentral:lncRNA from 1 species